rnacentral:rRNA from 1 species
AUUGAACGCUGGCGGCAUGCCUUACACAUGCAAGUCGAACGGUAACAGGUCUUCGGAUGCUGACGAGUGGCGAACGGGUGAGUAAUACAUCGGAACGUGCCUAGUAGUGGGGGAUAACUACUCGAAAGAGUGGCUAAUACCGCAUGAGAUCUACGGAUGAAAGCAGGGGAUCGCAAGACCUUGUGCUACUAGAGCGGCCGAUGGCAGAUUAGGUAGUUGGUGGGAUAAAAGCUUACCAAGCCGACGAUCUGUAGCUGGUCUGAGAGGACGAUCAGCCACACUGGGACUGAGAAACGGCCCAGACUCCUACGGGAGGCAGCAGUGGGGAAUUUUGGACAAUGGGCGCAAGCCUGAUCCAGCAAUGCCGCGUGCAGGAUGAAGGCCUUCGGGUUGUAAACUGCUUUUGUACGGAACGAAAAGCCCCGGGUUAAUACCAGGGGGUCAUGACGGUACCGUAAGAAUAAGCACCGGCUAACUACGUGCCAGCCGCCGCGGUAA